CCGCCAUUGAUUUUUCAAUUUUAUCCAAGCAUUUAUCAAUUUUUUCUCUUAAUUUUUUUGUUACACUAGAUCCAAGUCUUCGUUUUAGAGAAUGGAUGACAAAAACUUCUUUUUUUUUUAAAAUCUUCGAUACCGCCGUAGAGACCUACGACGCAAAUUAAGAAAUCAUUUUUUUUAAAAACACACUGGUGCCACUAAUAUUAAGGUUUGUAACAAAACAC
rnacentral:lncRNA from 1 species